CAAUUGAAUAACCCUAAUUUCUUCUUCAUCUAAAUUCUGCCGAAAUUGCAUCAAAUUGCCCUUUGAAGUUUUAAUCUUUGAAAGCAAAGUUGUUGCAAUGCCUUCAAAAGGCUUGAAUUUGACAAGGCUUUGCACGGAAGAGGAAGAAAAUGAGUCAAGUGGAGAAAUUUGAUGCAACCAUGGCUAUGUGUUGCCUUUCUUAACAGCUUGGACCCACAGGAACCCAGGAAGAAGAUAUUGGGUUUGUCCAUACUAAGGGGGUCCACGAUCUUGUGAUUUUUGGGUUUGGAAGGAUUCCGAAAUUGAUCCUAUGUCCAAAUUUGUUAUUCCAAAUUUGCUUGACAAAAUGGGUGAACUUGAGACUGCAUUAGAAGACUCUGAAAAUCUUGCCAAGCCGAGGGCAACUUUAAAGGUUGAAAACACCAUAGAAGAGGAGAAGAUGAAGAAGAUUGAGGCUCAAUUGGUGAAAUUGUUGAUAUGGAGAAGAUGAAAGAGAAGGAAAAAAAGUGGAAGAGCAAAUUGGCUAGGUCCAAGGCUAGAAAAAAUGUACUUUGGUUCAUUAUAUUGGGGAUGUGUAUUAUACUUGUUGCUUGUAGGUAUCCAGAAAUGUCAUUGAAAGAAGAUUCAAUGAGGUUUCCAUUUUGAAUCUAAUUUUGUCAUCUCAAUAUGUAUGUAGUUGUUGCUUAUAGGUAUUAUUUUGUAUGUUUGU